rnacentral:rRNA from 1 species
UUGUUCGUACCAAGAACCGACACAGGUGUCCCUAGGUGAGUAGCCUAAGGCGUGUUAGCAUAAUCGUGGCGAGGGAACUCGGCAAAUUAGCCCUGUAACUUCGGGAUAAGGGGUGCCAGCAGUGAGAGCUGCUGGUCGCAGUGACAAGAGAACACCGACUGUUUAAUAAAAACAUAGGUCUCUGCUAGUUCGAAAGGAUGUGUAUAGAGGCCGAAGCCUGCCCAGUGUCGGCAUCUGAAAAUCUGUUCCAACGGAUCGAAGGACCGAUAAACGGCGGGGGUAACUAUGACCCUCUUAAGGUAGCGUAAUACCUUGUCGCUUAAUUGGCGACUUGCAUGAAGGCUCAACGAGUGUUCUACUGUCCCCGCCAUGACGCUAGUGAAAUCAAUCAGUCUGGUGCACAAUCCAGACCCCUCCAUCUGAAAGCGAAGACCCCAUGGAGUUUCACUGCAACCUGUUGUUGUUGUAAGAAUUGGCAUGUGUAGGGUAGGCGGGAGACGUUACCCAGGAAGGUGCGCUAGCAUCUCUCCGAGUCACCGAUGAAACACCGCCCUUGCAAGUUUUUACGACUCACCUCUCCGGAGGAACAGCUAUAGGCAGGCAGUUCGGGUGGGGCGCCACGCCCUCAAAAAGAUAACAAGGGUGCCCAAAGGUUGGCUCAGGUAGGUCAGAAAUCUACCGAAGAAUGUAAGGGUAUAAGCCAGCUUGACUCGGAACCAGACAAUAGGGUUCGGAGAUAGGAAACUAAGGCCUAACGAACCAAUCAACCUCCUGAAUGGGGGUGAUUGAUGUCAGAAAAAUUACCCUGGGGAUAAUUGAGUUGUCACGAGCAAGAGUUCACAUCGACCUCGUGGCUUGCUACUUCGCUGUCGGCUCUCCCUAUCCUGGUGGUGCAGCAGCUGCCAAGGGUGGGGUUGUUCGCCCAUUAAAAGGGAUCGUGAGCUGGGUUUAAAACGUCGCGAGACAGUUUUGUUGCUUUUUGAUGGAGGUGUUGGUACCUGAUGAGAAGGACCCUUUAGUACGAGAGGAACAGGGGUUCGUCGCCUCUAGUUUAUCAGUUGUCUGACAAGGCAAGCUGAGUAGCCACGCGGUAGUGGAUAAGAGCUGAAGGCAUCUAAGCUCGAAGCCAUCUUAAAAAAGAGGUACCCAUAGGACGCUCGUAAAUGACGAGUUCGAUAGAAGCCGGAUGUAAGUGCCGAGGUUCGCCGAGGUAUUCAGUCCUGGCUCACUAAAGUUCUUUGACGUCGCU